rfam:Pseudomonas pseudoalcaligenes KF707 = NBRC 110670 strain KF707 ctg1549, whole genome shotgun sequence.
GGCACAGUGCCUGCUUGGACCCUCCCCGGUCAGCACAACGGCGUGUCUGCCACCCAACCGACAACGACGUCGC